GAUGAACGCUGGCGGCGUGCCUAAUACAUGCAAGUCGAACGCUUUGUGGUUCAACUGAUUUGAAGAGCUUGCUCAGAUAUGACGAUGGACAUUGCAAAGAGUGGCGAACGGGUGAGUAACACGUGGGAAACCUACCUCUUAGCAGGGGAUAACAUUUGGAAACAGAUGCUAAUACCGUAUAACAAUGACAACCGCAUGGUUGUUAUUUAAAAGAUGGUUCUGCUAUCACUAAGAGAUGGUCCCGCGGUGCAUUAGCUAGUUGGUAAGGUAAUGGCUUACCAAGGCAAUGAUGCAUAGCCGAGUUGAGAGACUGAUCGGCCACAAUGGGACUGAGACACGGCCCAUACUCCUACGGGAGGCAGCAGUAGGGAAUCUUCCACAAUGGGCGAAAGCCUGAUGGAGCAACGCCGCGUGUGUGAUGAAGGGUUUCGGCUCGUAAAACACUGUUGUAAGAGAAGAAUGACAUUGAGAGUAACUGUUCAAUGUGUGACGGUAUCUUACCAGAAAGGAACGGCUAAAUACGUGCCAGCAGCCGCGGUAAUACGUAUGUUCCAAGCGUUAUCCGGAUUUAUUGGGCGUAAAGCGAGCGCAGACGGUUAUUUAAGUCUGAAGUGAAAGCCCUCAGCUCAACUGAGGAAUUGCUUUGGAAACUGGAUGACUUGAGUGCAGUAGAGGAAAGUGGAACUCCAUGUGUAGCGGUGAAAUGCGUAGAUAUAUGGAAGAACACCAGUGGCGAAGGCGGCUUUCUGGACUGUAACUGACGUUGAGGCUCGAAAGUGUGGGUAGCAAACAGGAUUAGAUACCCAGGUAGUCCACACCGUAAACGAUGAGUGCUAGGUGUUUGAGGGUUUCCGCCCUUAAGUGCCGCAGCUAACGCAUUAAGCACUCCGCCUGGGGAGUACGACCGCAAGGUUGAAACUCAAAGGAAUUGACGGGGACCCGCACAAGCGGUGGAGCAUGUGGUUUAAUUCGAAGCAACGCGAAGAACCUUACCAGGUCUUGACAUCCCUUGACAACUCCAGAGAUGGAGCGUUCCCUUCGGGGACAAGGUGACAGGUGGUGCAUGGUUGUCGUCAGCUCGUGUCGUGAGAUGUUGGGUUAAGUCCCGCAACGAGCGCAACCCUUAUUACUAGUUGCCAGCAUUCAGUUGGGCACUCUAGUGAGACUGCCGGUGACAAACCGGAGGAAGGUGGGGAUGACGUCAAAUCAUCAUGCCCCUUAUGACCUGGGCUACACACGUGCUACAAUGGCGUAUACAACGAGUUGCCAACCUGCGAGGGUGAGCCAAUCUCUUAAAGUACGUCUCAGUUCGGAUUGUAGGCUGCAACUCGCCUACAUGAAGUCGGAAUCGCUAGUAAUCGCGGAUCAGCACGCCGCGGUGAAUACGUUCCCGGGUCUUGUACACACCGCCCGUCACACCAUGAGAGUUUGUAACACCCAAAGCCGGUGGGGUAACCUUCGGGAGCCAGCCGUCUAAGGUGGGACAGAUGAUUAGGGUG
rnacentral:rRNA from 1 species